rnacentral:rRNA from 1 species
CCCUAUGGGGCGCAGCAGGAUAUUCUGCGGUUCGUAGAUCCCGGUCGGUUCCGGCCGGACCAUCAGGGUAUACCGGAUCGAGACAAAGAGCAUCACGGUGAUAAAGACCGAGACGAUAAUGACCGCAAUGACCCCGAUCGUCCCGUAGAUCCUGAAGAAGGUACGCAGGGGAAUGAAUUUAUCAAAAAAUCUGACCCGGUUGGUCUUGAUUGCCAUGAUCGGGCCAUAGAAAAUAAUAUGGUCGGCCCAGAUUUUCCGGGAAUGAAUCUACUACGCAACAACUGCGUAGAUCGCCACGAGGGCGAUAAGGGUGAGGAUCCAGUCCAUCCAUAUCUGUUGGUCCGGAGAACCACAUAAAGGAAUGGUGGAUGACGGCGAUACGAGGACAGAUGGUCAACUUCUUAGAAAAACGCCGACAGGCUGCUCUGGGAUUUUUUCCCCAGUAUAUUACUCACGGUCUUCCAGCUCUUCCGGGAAUUGGCGGGGGGGC